rnacentral:hammerhead_ribozyme from 1 species
ACCGGCUGACAAGUCCCAAAUAGGACGAAAUACGCGUCGUGGAU